GGAUAUUCUGACACGAUGCCACUGCCUAAGACCUACGGUAGCAGAAGGAUGGGGAAGCCACGCGUGGUUCUCGUGACGGGCGGGGCUGGCUUCGUGGGCUCCCAUACCAUCCUGGAGCUGCAGAAGGUGGGCCACACGGUCGUCGUGGUUGACAACUGCGUGAAUGCCACCGCUGGGGAGACGCAGGCGGCGCUGCCCUUGGCCCUCCAGCGCGUCGAGAAAAUAACGGACAAGAAGGUGCAUUUCUACAUGUUGUCUCUGCUCGACCGCUGCGCCCUCAUCAAGGUGUUUCGGAAGCACAAAGUCGACGUCGUGAUUCACUUUGCGGCCCUAAAAGCUGUCGGAGAGUCGGUCGAGAAGCCUUUGGCCUACUAUGCAAACAAUGUCACGGGGACGAUCAACCUGCUCGAAGUGAUGAGCGAGGUGGGCGUGAAGCGGCUGGUGUACUCGUCGUCUGCCACAGUGUACGGCGUGCCCCAGUACCUGCCCACGGACGAGGAGCACCCGACGGGCGUGGGCGUCACCAACCCCUACGGACAGACCAAAUACGUGUGCGAACAGAUCAUGAAAGACCUGGCCGUGGCGGACAAAGAUUGGAAGGUAAUCUUAUUAAGGUAUUUCAAUCCAGUUGGUGCCCACGAGACCGGCAUGAUCGGUGAAGACCCCAACGGCAUUCCCAAUAACCUGGUGCCUUACAUCGCCCAGGUGGCGGUGGGAAAGAGGGAAUGCGUCAGUGUGUUUGGCGGCGACUACAACACUCCGGAUGGCACUGGUGUUCGGGACUACAUCCACGUGGUCGACCUGGCACUGGGACAUGAGGCGGCACUUGGCAAAAUCUUCGAGGAGAGUUUCAGAGGGAGCAAAGGCCUACAAUUUGGGGACAGGAAAGGGCGUGUCCGUUCUCGAGAUGAUUAAGGCGUUUGCAAAGCGUGUGGCAAGGAGAUCCCGUACAAGGUGGUGGGUCGUCGCGAGGGUGAUGUGCCGACCAUGGUGGCCUCCUGCGCCCUCGCCGAGAAGGAACUGGGCUGGAAGGCCACGAGGAACCUGGACGAAAUGUGCGAGGAUACGUGGCGGUGGCAGAGUCAAAAUCCAGACGGUUACGUUUAACAGAUGAUUCCUAACUCUAUGUUGCAGCCUUUGUUGCCUGUGUUUGGUGGACCAUUGCGUUGGAAAUAUAAAGUUUAUUGUUUA
rnacentral:misc_RNA from 1 species